GCGACCUGCCCGUUGCAGGGGGAUAAUCGGGAGAAAUCCCGUCUAAUACCGCGUAACGCCGCGGGGCUGCAUGGCCCUGCGGCCAAAGGGAGCGAUUCCGGCAACGGAUGGGCAUGCGUGACAUUAGCUAGUUGGCGGGGCAACGGCCCACCAAGGCGACGAUGUCUAGGGGUUCUGAGAGGAAGGUCCCCCACACUGGUACUGAGACACGGACCAGACUCCUACGGGAGGCAGCAGUGAGGAAUAUUGGUCAAUGGGCGCGAGCCUGAACCAGCCAAGUCGCGUGAGGGAUGACGGCCCUACGGGUUGUAAACCUCUUUUGUCGGGGAGCAAAUUCCGUUACGUGUAACGGAGUCGAGAGUACCCGAAGAAAAAGCAUCGGCUAACUCCGUGCCAGCAGCCGCGGUAAUACGGAGGAUGCGAGCGUUAUCCGGAUUUAUUGGGUUUAAAGGGUGCGUAGGCGGACUGUCAAGUCAGCGGUAAAAUACGGGGGCUCAACCUCCGCCCGCCGUUGAAACUGACGGUCUUGAGUGGGCGAGAAGUAUGCGGAAUGCGUGGUGUAGCGGUGAAAUG
rnacentral:rRNA from 1 species